UGAUAGAGCAUUCAUUAAAAUUGGUCACCUUGAAGAUCAAUAGAGAGAUGGAACAAAAAUUUAUUCAAUUCUUCAUACAAAUAAUGGGGAAAAAGGCUCAAUUAGAAAAUAAAAGCAAUUGCUUUAA